rnacentral:lncRNA from 1 species
GUUGUCUUAUUUUUGCAAACCAGUGCAGUUCUUUCCCGUGCUCCCUCUCGCUACCGCAAGCUGUAUUUCUCAGCCAGAGCACUUCAGAAUAGAUUGCUCGACUGCCUGCAUUAGCACGGCCUCUCCUGCCUUCGCUCUGCCCUCUCUGGAUUAGUGGGGACUCGGCCCAGUCACACCGGUGGCUGCCAAGCGUUCUCUCCCCGGCUCCGCUCUGCAGAGAGCAAUGCUAGAGCCUGUGAGUGGCCAGGUAUGUUUUGUUCCUCUUGUGCAGUGUAUGUGGUUGCAUAAGGGACACACCAACACUACCUACAUCCAAAUUGUCAUCCUCCACAGAACCUGUGAGUAA